UCCUUAGAUGUUCUGGGCCGCACGCGCGCUACACUGACGAAUGCAACGAGCUUAUAACCUUGGCCGAAAGGUCUGGGUAAUCUCCAAAUUUCGUCGUGAUGGGGAUAGAUUAUUGCAAUUAUUAAUCUUCAACGAGGAAUGCCUAGUAAGCGCAAGUCAUCAGCUUGCGUUGAUUACGUCCCUGCCCUUUGUACACACCGCCCGUCGCUCCUACCGAUUGAAUGGUCCGGUGAAGCGUUCGGACCGUGGCCUUUGGACGGUUCGCCGUCUGUUGGCUGCGGGAAGUUCGUUAAACCUUAUCAUUUAGAGGAAGGAGAANUCGUAACA
rnacentral:rRNA from 1 species